rnacentral:rRNA from 1 species
CCUACGGGUGGCAGCAGUGGGGAAUAUUGCGCAAUGGGCGAAAGCCUGACGCAGCGACGCCGCGUGAGGGAUGAAGGUCUUCGGAUCGUAAACCUCUGUCAGCAGGGAAGAACGGUCACUGUGCUAAUCAGCAGUGAAUUGACGGUACCUGCAAAGGAAGCACCGGCUAACUCCGUGCCAGCAGCCGCGGUAAUACGGAGGGUGCGAGCGUUAAUCGGAAUUACUGGGCGUAAAGCGAUCGCAGGCGGUAUGUCAAGUCAAGGGUGAAAGCCCCGGGCUCAACGUGGGAACUGCAUUUGAAACUGGCAAACUGGAGUGUGUGAGAGGAUAGUGGAAUUCCAGGUGUAGGAGUGAAAUCCGUAGAUAUCUGGAGGAACAUCAGUGGCGAAGGCGACUAUCUGGCACAUAACUGACGCUGAGGAGCGAAAGCGUGGGUAGCAAACAGGAUUAGAUACCCUUGUAGUC